rnacentral:rRNA from 1 species
AGUGAACGCUGGCGGUAGGCCUAACACAUGCGAGUCGAACGGCAGCACAGUAAGAGCUUGCUCUUACGGGUGGCGAGUGGCGGACGGGUGAGGAAUACAUCGGAAUCUACUUUUUCGUGGGGGAUAACGUAGGGAAACUUACGCUAAUACCGCAUACGACCUACGGGUGAAAGCAGGGGAUCUUCGGACCUUGCGCGAUUGAAUGAGCCGAUGUCGGAUUAGCUAGUUGGCGGGGUAAAGGCCCACCAAGGCGACGAUCCGUAGCUGGUCUGAGAGGAUGAUCAGCCACACUGGAACUGAGACACGGUCCAGACUCCUACGGGAGGCAGCAGUGGGAAAUAUUGGACAAUGGGCGCAAGCCUGAUCCAGCCAUACCGCGUGGGUGAAGAAGGCCUUCGGGUUGUAAAGCCCUUUUGUUGGGAAAGAAAAGCAGCAGGUUAAUACCCCGCUGUUCUGACGGUACCCAAAGAAUAAGCACCGGCUAACUUCGUG